CCUACGGGGGGCUGCAGUGGGGAAUAUUGGACAAUGGGGGGAACCCUGAUCCAGCCAUGCCGCGUGUGUGAAGAAGGCCCUCGGGUUGUAAAGCACUUUCAGUGAGGAAGAACGCCUGGUGGUUAAUACCCAUCAGGAAAGACAUCACUCACAGAAGAAGCACCGGCUAACUCCGUGCCAGCAGCCGCGGUAAUACGGAGGGUGCGAGCGUUAAUCGGAAUUACUGGGCGUAAAGCGCGCGUAGGUGGCUUGAUAAGCCGGUUGUGAAAGCCCCGGGCUCAACCUGGGAACGGCAUCCGGAACUGUCAAGCUAGAGUGCAGGAGAGGAAGGUGGAAUUCCCGGUGUAGCGGUGAAAUGCGUAGAGAUCGGGAGGAAUACCAGUGGCGAAGGCGGCCUUCUGGACUGACACUGACACUGAGGUGCGAAAGCGUGGGUAGCAAACAGGAUUAGAUACCCGGGUAGUC
rnacentral:rRNA from 1 species